rnacentral:misc_RNA from 1 species
GAAAUGCGAUAAGUAAUGUGAAUUGCAGAAUUCAGUGAAUCAUCGAAUCUUUGAACGCACCUUGCGCUCCUUGGUAUUCCUUGGAGCAUGCCUGUUUGAGUAUCAUGAAAUCUUCAGAGUAAAUCUUUUGUUAACUCAAUUGGUUUCUACUUUGGUAUUGGAGGUCUUUGCAGCUUCACACCUGCUCCUCUUUGUUCAUUAGCUGGAUCUCAGUGUUAUGCUUGGUUCCACUCGGCGUGAUAAGUUAUCUAUCGCUGAGGACACUGUAAAAGGUGGCCAAGGUAAAUGCAGAUGAACCGCUUCUAAUAGUCCAUUGACUUGGACAAUACUUUUAUGAUCUGAUCUCAAAUCAGGUAGGACUACCCGCUGAACUUAAGC